GUAGGAGGCAAGCGUUAUCCGGAUUCACUGGGCGUAAAGCGCGUGCAGGCGGUUCGGUAAGUUGGGCGUGAAAUCUCCUGGCUCAACUGGGAGAGGUCGUUCAAUACUACCGGGCUAGAGAGUGGUAGAGGAAGAUGGAAUUCCCGGUGUAGUGGUGAAAUGCGUAGAUAUCGGGAGGAACACCAGUGGCGAAGGCGAUCUUCUGGACCAUUUCUGACGCUCAGACGCGACAGCUAGGGUAGCAAACGGGAUUAGAGACCCCGGUAGUCCUAGCCGUAAACGAUGUGAACUUGGCGUCGGUGGCUUAAACUCCAUCGGUGCCGCAGCCAACGCGAUAAGUUCACCGCCUGGGGACUACGGCCGCAAGGUUAAA
rnacentral:rRNA from 1 species